CGAGCGUUGUUCGGAUUCAUUGGGCGUAAAGGGUGCGUAGGCGGCCUGUUAAGUUUGGUGUGAAAUCCCGGGGCUCAACCCUGGAAUGGCAUUGAAUACUGGCGGACUAGAGUACCGGAGAGGAAACUGGAAUUUACGGUGUAGCAGUGAAAUGCGUAGAGAUCGUAAGGAAGACCAGUGGCGAAGGCGAGUUUCUGGACGGUAACUGACGCUGAGGCACGAAGGCCAGGGGAGCAAACGGG
rnacentral:rRNA from 1 species